GACGAACGCUGGCGGCGUGCUUAACACAUGCAAGUCGAGCGAUGAAGCUAGAGCUUGCUCUGGUGGAUUAGUGGCGAACGGGUGAGUAACACGUGAGUAACCUGCCCCGAACUCUGGGAUAACUGCUGGAAACGGUAGCUAAUACCGGAUAUGACCAAUGAAGGCAUCUUCUGUUGGUGGAAAGAAUUUCGGUUCGGGAUGGACUCGCGGCCUAUCAGCUUGUUGGGUAGGUAAAGGCUUAGCAAGGCUAUGAAGGGUAGGGGGUGUGAGAGCAUGUCCACCAACAUUGGGACUGAGACACUGCCCAAACUCCUACGGUAGGCUGCAGUCGAGAAUAUUCCACAAUGGACGAAAGUCUGAUGGAGCGAUGCGGCGUGGAGGAUGAGGGUAUUCGUAUCGUAAACUGCUUUUGUACGGGAAGAAUUUAGACGACGGUACCGUGCGAAUAAGAGGUUACUAACUCUGUGCCAGCCGCCGCAGUAA
rnacentral:rRNA from 1 species